ACAGAGGGUGCGAGCGUUAAUCGGAAUUACUGGGCGUAAAGCGCACGUAGGCGGCUUUGUAAGUUAGAGGUGAAAGCCCAGAGCUCAACUCUGGAACUGCCUUUAAGACUGCAUCGCUUGAAUUGUGGAGAGGUAAGCGGAAUUCCUGGUGUAGCGGUGAAAUGCGUAGAUAUCAGGAGGAACACCUGUGGUGUAGACAGCUUACUGGACCACUUCUGACGCUGAGACACGAAAGCGUGGGUAGCAAACAGGA
rnacentral:rRNA from 1 species